ACGUGAAAUACCACUCUUAUAAUUUUUUAUUACUUAAAUUUUAUUAAAAACAGUGUAUAAUGGGUAGUUUGACUGGGGCGGUCGCCUCCUAAAGAGUAACGGAGGCGUACAAAGGUAAGUUCGAAUUAAGGUAAAUUAAUUUAAGAGCGUAAUAGUAUAUUGCUUGCCUGACUGUUAGAUAGACAUAUCAAGCAGGGACGAAAGUCGGUUAUAGUGAUCCGGUGAUUCUGCGUGGAAAGAUCAUCGCUCAACGAAUAAAAGGUACGCCGGGGAUAACAGGCUAAUCACCCCCUAGAGACCCUAUCGACGGGGUGGUUUGGCACCUCGAUGUUGGAUUAUCGCAUCCUGGAGCUGAAAAUGGUUCCAAGGGUUUGGCUGUUCGCCAAGUAAGGCGGUACAUGAUCUGAGUUUAGAACGUCGUGAGACAGUUUGGUCCCUAUCUACCGUAGGCGUUAAAAAUUGAAAGGGUUAAACCUUAGUACGAGAGGACCGGGAAAAGUAAACCUAUGGUGAAUCGAUUGUUAUACCAAUAGCAUUGUCGAGUAGCUACGUUUGUUAUAGAUAAUCACUGAAUGCAUUUAAGUGAGAAACUAGCCUUAAGAUAAAUUUU
rnacentral:rRNA from 1 species